rnacentral:lncRNA from 1 species
CUUUUGUAAUAUUAUGACUUUUAUUCAUUAAAAACAUGAGAGGGGGGUUCAUAGGCUUUAAUAGACUUUUGAAGGGGUUCAGGCAAAAAAAAAGAGUUUAAGAACCCCUGGACUAGAAUAAUAGAGCUUCUCUCUCUUUCUCUCUCUUUUCAAUUUCAAAUCAGCUAUUUUGUACUUUCCUAUUCUUUAUAGGGAUUCCUUAGAGCUUUAAGAUGCCAUUUGUACUAAAUAUUCUUAAAUUUUUGGGAACUAUUAUGUGACCCUGUGUUUUUCCAUUGUUGUUUAAUUUAGGAUUUGCCCCAAUAUCUGGACUUAAAGGAAAACAUGUUUUGUUGUCUAUGACAGGAGUCCUGACCUUGGAGAAACGCAACCACCAAUCUCAUAGGAUUCCAUUGUUUGAGUCAUUGACCAGAACAAGCAGCUCAUAAUGCAGUGAGGAUGUGCACAGAUGGGAACCACUUCAGAAGCCAGAGAGAAAAAUCUCAUGCUACUCACACACUCUUUCACCUAAAAUCCAGAGGGCACUUGCUGCAGCAGAUGCAGAAAUAAAAACACAAUUGAAAAAGGUGGAAAGACUUCAUAAUAUGUGAAAUCUUGUUUUAGCCCUAUGUGCCUAAGGGGAGCACAGACUAGACCCUACGGAGGUUUUGCAAGUAAGAGACAUCACAGGUUCCUGCACAGCCUCAGAGAACAAUACUGCUGGCCCUUUCUCUGAGGAAAUACAUUCCAAGACCUGUUGUGGAUGGCUGAGUGAACAUUUGCUGAUUUCAUCUAUCUGUUCUCUCUCUCUUCACUCCUGUCCCUUAACUUGGUGUUCCACUGUGUCCCAAACUACCCACAACCAUCCCCCCAAAUCUUUGAAUAAAUGAAAGCAAAAGUGAAAGCAGAAGAAAUAAUCAGAGUUGUGCUUUAUGGGCAGACUUCCAGAGCUUCACAGUUGGAAAUCUGAGUUGAAGCUCUUCAACCACCAUAGUAGAAAUGUGCGGAACUACUGAGA